rnacentral:rRNA from 1 species
UACGUAGGUGGCAAGCGUUGUUCGGAAUUACUGGGCGUAAAGGGUUCGUAGGUGGCUUGCUAAGUCAGACGUGAAAUCCCUCAGCUUAACUGGGGAACUGCGUCUGAUACUGGCGAGCUUGAGUGCAGGAGAGGAACGCGGAAUUCCAGGUGUAGCGGUGAAAUGCGUAGAUAUCUGGAGGAACACCGGUGGCGAAGGCGGCGUUCUGGACUGCAACUGACACUGAUGAACGAAAGCCAGGG